rnacentral:rRNA from 1 species
UACGUAGGAUCCGAGCGUUGUCCGGAUUUACUGGGUGUAAAGGGCGUGUAGGUGGGUCUCUAAGUCGGUGGUGAAAGCCUGCAGCUUAACUGCAGAAUUGCCAUCGAUACUGGAGGUCUUGAGUGCGGCAGAGGGAGAUGGAAUUCAUGGUGUAGCGGUGAAAUGUGUAGAUAUCAUGAAGAACACCGGUAGCGAAGGCGGUCUCCUGGUCCGUAACUGACACUGAGGCGCGAAAGCGUGGGGAGCAAACAGG